rnacentral:rRNA from 1 species
CCUAGGGGGGGCAGCAGGCGCGAAAACUUUACAAUGCGGGCAACCGUGAUAAGGGAACCUCGAGUGCCUGUAUAUGCAGGCUGUCUGGGUGUCUAAAACACACCUAAAGAAAGGGCCGGGCAAGACCGGUGCCAGCCGCCGCGGUAAUACCGGCGGCUCGAGUGGUGGCCACUUUUAUUGGGCUUAAAGCGUUCGUAGCUGGGUUAUUAAGUCCCUUGGGAAAUCCGACGGCUUAACCGUCGGGCGUCUAAGGGAUACUGGCAAUCUUGGAACCGGGAGAGGUGAGGGGUACUUCGGGGGUAGGAGUGAAAUCCUGUAAUCCUCGAGGGACCACCUGUGGCGAAGGCGCCUCACCAGAACGGCUUCGACAGUGAGGGACGAAAGCUGGGGGAGCAAACCGGAUUAGAUACCCGGGUAGUCCCAGCCGUAAACGAUGUGCGUUAGGUGUAUCGGUGACCACGAGUCACCGAGGUGCCGAAGGGAAACCGUGAAACGUACCGCCUGGGAAGUACGGUCGCAAGGCUGAAACUUAAAGGAAUUGGCGGGGGAGCACCACAACAGGUGGAGCCUGCGGUUUAAUUGGAGUCAACGCCGGA